rnacentral:ribozyme from 1 species
AGGGCGGGAGACAAGUUUGGACCCAAUACAAAGAACCGAGUCGCCAGGGGAAGUUGGAGAUAAAUUGUCGACCGAUAUGAGCGAUGAAGGAGAUGACGAAUCAUCCAAAAAGGAAUCUAGAAAGAGAAGACGAAACGGUCAAACUUCUCAGGAGCAAGCUGUGGC